rnacentral:rRNA from 1 species
AAAUUGAAGAGUUUGAUCAUGGCUCAGAUUGAACGCUGGCGGCAGGCCUAACACAUGCAAGUCGAACGGUAACAGGAAGCAGCUUGCUGCUUCGCUGACGAGUGGCGGACGGGUGAGUAAUGUCUGGGAAACUGCCUGAUGGAGGGGGAUAACUACUGGAAACGGUGGCUAAUACCGCAUAACGUCGCAAGAUCAAAGAGGGGGACCUUCGGGCCUCUUGCCAUCAGAUGUGCCCAGAUGGGAUUAGCUUGUUGGUGAGGUAACGGCUCACCAAGGC